rnacentral:rRNA from 1 species
GCGUUGUUCGGAUUCAUUGGGCGUACCUUUUGCGUAGGUGGCGCUGUAAGUCAGGUGUGAAAUUUCGGAGCUUAACUCCGAAACUGCAUUUGAUACUGCGGUGCUUGAGGACUGGAGAGGAGACUGGAAUUUACGGCGUAGCAGUGAAAUGCGUAGAGAUCGUAAGGAAGACCAGUGGCGAAGGCGGGUCUCUGGACAGUUCCUGACACUGAGGCACGAAGGCCAG